UACGAAGGGGGCUAGCGUUGCUCGGAAUCACUGGGCGUAAAGCGCACGUAGGCGGCUUGUUAAGUCCGGGGUGAAAUCCUGGAGCUCAACUCCAGAACUGCCUUUGAUACUGGCGAUCUCGAGUCCGGGAGAGGUGAGUGGAACUGCGAGUGUAGAGGUGAAAUUCGUAGAUAUUCGCAAGAACACCAGUGGCGAAGGCGGCUCACUGGCCCGGUACUGACGCUGAGGUGCGAAAGCGUGGGGAGCAAACAGG
rnacentral:rRNA from 1 species